UACGUAGGGAGCAAGCGUUGUCCGGAAUCAUUGGGCGUAAAGCGCGCGUAGGUGGCUUCGUAAGUCCGUUGUGAAAGUCAAAGGCUCAACCUUUGAAAGCCGAUGGAUACUGCGGAGCUAGAGUACGGAAGAGGCGAGUGAAUUCCUGGUGUAGCGGUGGAAUGCGCAGAUAUCAGGAGGAACACCAAUGGCGAAGGCAGCUCGCUGGAACGGUACUGACGCUGAGGCGCGAAAGCCAGGGGAGCAAACGGG
rnacentral:rRNA from 1 species